AUCAGACCCUGGGAUUUACAGCACCAGAAACAGGAUGAUUUGGGUUGUAAACUUUGGUUUGAGUUAAAUCAUUCUCCUCUGACAGGGUCUGUUAGCAUCAUUAGGAAGCAUUGUGACCAUGAAAAGGAUGGUAUAUUGUUGAGUCUAAACCCUUUCAUUGAUGUUGGCUUGAAAACUGUUUAAUUAGCUAUAAGAUGCCAACCAAUCUCUUUAUCAAAGCCAGCCGAAAACAAAACUGAGAGAAACAGCUUGUGGUUUCACAAAAAAAAAAAAAAAAAAAAAAAAGUAUUUACAUGAAGUAUAUUUUAAAGGGAGUUCGAUAAUUAGGGACGAUGUCAUCUGUGCUGUGCGGUGGAUUUGACAUUUAAAAGAUGUCAGAUUUAUCUCCAGCCCAUGCUUAGUUUAGAUGUAACCCCUCCUGGGAGCAGAUCUUGUUUUGUCACUUUUCAGCCUAGAAAUCUACCAAGAUUUUAACUCUCAUUUACUGAACACAAAUCCUUUCCCUGUCCUCUCACUGCCUUACCUAAGACUGACUGAAAAGAAAGCCGGGCUGUGGGGGGAACAAGGUGGAAUGGAAGCCCUGUUUCACACCGAGUCGCAGGGAUGGUGACAGAGUCCAGCAAACCACAGUGAACCGAGUAUGGAGGGAGGGAAUUCUCAAUGAGCAAGGGGUUUCCUGAAAUCACAAAGGAUCCGAACCCUCUGGCCCACGGCUUCACAGAAAGAACAUUCUGGUCACUUUUCUUCUCUCCUCAUUUGUUGGAAAAGGCAGUGAAGCUCUAAGACAAAUUCAGCUGAAGACAAGCCAUCGCAGACCCUAGUGAAAACUGCAACCAACAGCACCCUGAACCACAGAACCCCAUGCAAGGGACCACACAGAUCUUUCAAACAGAAAGGGAAAUGGUUGAUGUUAUAUGACCAAAAAAAAAAAAAAAAAAAAAAAAAAAAAAAAGAGAGAGAGAGAGAAAAAAGAAAAAAAAAAAGAACUGUUCCUUAGGACCCUUCAACCUUAACUCACACUGCAGAGGUCAAGAGGUACCAGCUCUAGGAUAUGAAUGCUGGGGUUUACAUGCAGUUAGCAACAUAGUUGUUUCUGUCUUAGCUGUUAGCUGUUUUGUUAAAUUAAAGUAUAGUUGAUUUAAAAUGUUGUGCUAAUUUCUGCUGUGCAGAAAAGUGACCCAGUCAUAUACACCUAAAUGCAUAAACAUAUACAUAUGUGUAUACAUACACACAUACACUCACACACAUACACAUUCUUAUUCUCAUAGUAUCUUCUAUCAUGUUCUAUCCCAAG
rnacentral:lncRNA from 1 species